UAAGACAGAGGGUGCAAACGUUGUUCGGAAUUACUGGGCGUAAAGCGCGUGUAGGUGGCCCGGCAAGUCGGAUGUGAAAGCCCUCGGCUCAACUGGGGAAGUGCAUCCGAAACUACCGGGCUCGAGUGUCGGAGAGGGAAGUGGAAUUCCCGGUGUAGAGGUGAAAUUCGUAGAUAUCGGGAGGAACACCAGUGGCGAAGGCGGCUUCCUGGACGAACACUGACACUGAGACGCGACAGCGUGGGGAGCAAACAGGA
rnacentral:rRNA from 1 species